rnacentral:rRNA from 1 species
GACGAACGCUGGCGGCGAGCUCAACACAUGCAAGUCGAACGGAAAGGCCCUGCUUUUGUGGGGUGCUCGAGUGGCGAACGGGUGAGUAACACGUGAGUAACCUGCCCUUGACUUUGGGAUAACUUCAGGAAACUGGGGCUAAUACCGGAUAGGAGCUCCUGCUGCAUGGUGGGGGUUGGAAAGUUUCGGCGGUUGGGGAUGGACUCGCGGCUUAUCAGCUUGUUGGCGGGGUAGUGGCUUACCAAGGCUUUGACGGGUAGCCGGCCUGAGAGGGUGACCGGCGACAUUGGGACUGAGAUACGGCCCAGCCUCCUACGGGAGGCGGCAGUGGGGAAUAUUGCACAAUGGGCGGAAGCCUGAUGCAGCAACGCCGCGUGCGGGAUGACGGCCUUCUGGUUGUAAUCCGCUUUCGCCUGUGACGAAGCGUGAGUGACGGUAAUGGGUAAAGAAGCACCGGCUAACUACGUG